rnacentral:tRNA from 1 species
GCCUUGGUGGUGAAAUGGUAGACACGAGGGACUUAAAAUCCCUUGGACCGAAAGGUCCGUGCGGGUUCGAUUCCCGCCCGAGGCA